rnacentral:misc_RNA from 1 species
AACGCACAUUGCGCCCAUUAGUAUUCUAGUGGGCAUGCCUGUCCGAGCGUCAUUUCACCCCUCAAGCCAUGGCUGCUUGGUGUUGGGGCGUCUCCGCGGCGGCUCAGAGCCGGCCGCGUAGGUCCCGAAAUACAGUGGCGGGCUCGCCAGGAUUCCGAGCGCAGUAGAAUCUCUCCGCUCAGGGCGCCUGGCGGGUUUUUAUCCGGCCGUAAAAACCCCCACCAUCCGUACAGGUUGACCUCGGAUCAGGUAGGAAUACCCGCUGAACUUAA